GGAGGGGAGGGGACGCUCAGCACGAAAACCCAGGGAGCUGGCCAUGUGGUGCCACCUCCCCUCACAGUUCAGGAGCAAAGCCACCCGCCUUGGAGUGACCAGGCAUUCCUGUUGGAGUUCAAGGGAGAUCGGGAGUUUCCUCCUGAGGACCACGUUUGGGCCAGCACUUUCUAGACAGCAGAUCGUUGGCAGGUAAGGAAGCACCCUGUCCAACUUCCCUCCUGGGCCAUGGCCACGCCCAGUGGUUCUCACCCUGCUGUCCCCACCCGUCACACAGAUGUGCCUGAGCCCCAGCCCUGGACAUGCUCACUCACUCGCCCUGGGCUGGGGCCUGGCACUGCGUGUUCUUAAAAGCUACACAAGUGACACUAAUGUGAACCAGGGGUGUGAACCACUGAGCUGGCAAGUGGCUUUUACUACACUGAAGAGUCAAAUAGGCCCCUUCAGCAGGGGUAGCCAAGGCCCCCAACCCCUGUCUCCAGCUGUGCACGUCAUUGUGGAGUUUGCCAAUAUGGCCCGUGGGCUGUGCAGCCCACCAGAUCACAGGGUGUGGCCUGAGAGCUUUAGGCAGGCAGGGGGGAGAAAGAGAGUUUGUCCAGAUGCUGGCAAGCCUUCAACCAGGAGGCCAGGGGGCCCAAACUCCUACUGCCGCUGUGCAAAUGACUGCCUCAGGCCCAUCAAUUAGUAACUGUAAUUGAAUCAAGACAUAAUUAAUUACUCUGUUUUGAGCUGUUCAGGUUUAAUUCCAUUUGCAUUAUUUUAUGAAACUGGAGCAUCUCGAAUGAUGAAUGUUAAAGGAAAAUAGGUGUGAUUGAAACUUUCCUUGGUAUUUAACUCAUGUUGGAAUCACUGCUGCCUCAAAUGAAUGCUCUUUAUAAUCAUUAAAACAGCUUCAUGUGGCCCAGCUCAAUCCUACAUUCUGAUCCUGUAGCCCAUUGCUGAACCACCCCAGUUGUCUCAAAGCUCCUAGAUAGCCUUGGCUGCUGUGAAGUUCACAGCAGGAAAAUGAUCUUAACCCUGGGUCUGUGAUUUGGGACUGGGUCGAACUAUCGCCACGCAAAGGUUGGGCUAAUGACGUUGCAGGUGCUUCCUGGAUACGUUUGGUUUGGUGGAUGAAGAGUGGAAGGAUGCAUUAGUAGAUGGAAGAGUAGAUGGAAGAGGGGUCAGUGGUAGAUUGAAAAUGGAUGAACAGAUGGAUGGAAGGAAGAGUGGGUAAGCGUGUGGAUGGAUGGAUAGAUGGAAAGAAGGAAGGAGAAAGAAAGAACAGCUCUUGGGCAUCAGGCAUUCUGCUCCCAGGCUAUGUUAACAUGAAAAUAUUGGGGAAAGGAUCCUAAAGUGACUUAGGAAUCAGGUGACAAUCAGAAUGCCUAGUACCCAAUGGCUGAUUUUCUUUCCUUUCCAUCCACCCACCCACCCAUCCAUCUAUCCAUCAGUUAUUCAAGCCACUCGCUGACCCAUCUUCCAUCCAAGCAUGUUCUCCCCAGUGGCCCCUCCCCAAUCGACCAGUCCAAGGCACCUAAAAUACAUGCUCCGAGAGUCACUCCUUUGGUGUGAGUGACUCUCAGGAUGGGCUCGCCCGUCCAGCCACUCCUCCUUAGGAACAUUGCUCUCCCGGAAGGUGGCGGAUGGGCCAGGGUCAUCAGAAGUCUCCUCCAGCUCUGACUCAGUUCUUCCCAGGUCACUGGCUCAGCUAGUCCCGUUUCCAGGGCCAGAGGGUCACUGAAAACAACACAACUCACCGGAGAGGAUAAAGAAGAUGCCGGAGACGAAGGCCAGUAUCGUCCUGUGGGGGCGGAUGUGUCCAAUGUUGCUCAGGAUAAAGCCAAUGAACAUGAAGAAGAGGCUGACCAGCGGGAACGGUGUGGCUGAGCGAAUCAUCUCUAGAAUGGAACCAAAUAAAAACUCUGGACACCAAAGCUCGGUUGAACUUCCUGGGUGAUGAACACAUAGAUGUGUUAGGAUGUGGUACAUCCUGAUCCUAUGGGGACAGGACACUACAGCUCUGCACUGGGGACCCUCCCAGACCUUGCCCUGUGUGUCUCUUCAUUUGGCACAUCCUGAUUUGCAUGCUUCAUAACAAAACUGUCAUGCCAGUGGCCAGGUGCAAAGUUCGAGGCACCUACUUAGAACAUUGACCGUGGACUCGGACGUCAGCUGGGAGUUCAUGGGCAUCACGUAUUCUAUGGUGAA